CGAGUUUCAAAACAUCAAGGAAAAAGUCUCAUUUUCCCUUAAAACAAACCAUCUUGCUAAAAUAACAAUAGCAACAUAUAACACAUGUAAACUCCCAAAUUUCAACAAAUCAAAUGCUCACAUAUUUGCAUUUACAACCAUAUACCCAUAAUCAUCAUGCACACCAUCCCAUCAUAAUUAUCAUACACACCAUCCCAUCAUCAUCAUUCCCAGCUCAUGCGCACUCCCUACUCGCACAUGGCUAGGUCAUCACCGGGUUAUGCGCACUCGCUACUCGCACAUAACUAGGUCAUCACCGGGUUAUGCGCACUCCCUCCUCGCACAUAACCGAGUCAUCAUCGACUUAUGCGCACUCCCUACUCUCACAUAGCCAAGUCAAUAUUAUUACACAAUAAUGUAUUCAUAUAUAUAUAUCAACACAAUGUGGUAGUGCAUGAAUCAAUAAUAGUCACAUGUCACAAGAUGAAGACAAUCUAUCAAAAGCUUGUUCCCAAGGCACUUGUUUUUAUGAACAGCUGGAUAAUCCAUUCAAAUGUUUGACAAAUACAUUAUAUCUCCAAAACAAGUUUUGAAAUGCAAGUCCACUCACCGGUAUUAGGAGUAGAAGUACUCCUAUUUUCAAUUCGUGAGUACAGUCUUUUACCCUAUCCAAUGGCUUACCAC
rnacentral:lncRNA from 1 species